GGGGCGGGUGUAAUUUGUUUUAAACCACCCUGCAUUGUUUCUCUUGAGGGAAAACUCACCAGGAUAUUCCUACAUUGUGCCUCUGGUGCUUAUUAAGUCUUACCGGAGAUUUGAGUCAGCGGAGCGGUGCCUGUGCUGUACCCCUUCUCCGAGUACACCUGCCGGGUCUCGGAGCAGCUCCUCCCCGCAGCAGCCACGGGGCUCCGGGUCCCCGACAGGGCAGCGACCGCGCAGAGCAGCACCAGCAGCGGGUACCUGGGGAAAGAUAGCCGGGUAUCCAUCCUCACCGCAGGGCUCCACCAGACAGCAGGUAAUUUGUCCUUCCUGGGAGAUCCGCUGUUGUACGUAAAUGUAAAGGCAGAGUGAAUGGGGCACUCCCGUCCCUUUCAGCAUCAUCAAACAGACAAACUGUGUGAAGCCUGCAGGACUGACACCGGAACACGAGGGAGAUUUACUUUCAAAGUAAAUGCAUAAGAAUAGUAAUCUGUAGAACAGUGGUUCUCAAAGUGGGGUCCUUGAGGGAGUUCAAAGGGGUCCCCGGCACUACAAUUCCAUCCAUAAGUAACAAAAUGACAAUGUAUGACUAUUUUAGUUUCACACACUUCUUGUAAUAAAACAUCUAAA